AGCAUAGCAAAUUCAUAAGGAGUCUUUUCUUCAAAGAACGGAAAUGACUCUGAAGUCUGACUAAACUCACAGUGUCCUUGUGAGGGAGAUGGGAAGAGGCAGAGUAUUUUGCCCCAUUUCAAGUUCAAGAAAGCAAAGAACACAAAAGUUAAGUGGCUGGUGUUCAUUUAUUCAAGUAAAUUUAUUCAGGAGUCGAGCCAGAAACAAAGAUCAAGUCUCCUGGCCCAUGUACUAGGCCCCAUGCUGCCUCACAGCUUUCAAAACCUUCAUUUUCCUGGAAAAAGCUGAAAAGCUUUCCCCUACCAUACAUACUAGAUUCAGACACACUGCCAUCUACUGACCCACCGGAGGAUGUACCAGCUGAGACAUCCUGAGCUUCAAGGGAAAGAGGAACACCUUGAGAGGGGUUGAGAUCCUGCUUUCCCUGCAGAAUGCCCUCUCCAGGAUGCUCAUGGGCCGUGUCUACAGUACUAUGUAGGAACGUGCUGCAAGAGUUCUGUCACCCCUCUGAAGACCUGGUUCUUAGCUGCAGCUGCAACUCUAUCCCUGGACUCAUCUUUGAAACUACCCAGAGACAGACAGUCAAUAGCUUUAGAACUUUACAACAAGAUCUUCCAAGUGCCCUGAGACUUCGUGAUGGAGCCAACAGAAAUAAAUCAUACAGGACAAAGCCAGACCCUGGUGUGAGGGAUGCUUAUAAAACAGCAUAAACAAGAAGUCAUAUGAAAAAGAUUGUAUGGAAGGAAGAAGAGAUAAUGGAAAUUAAUUCAUAAGAGCCCCAACUAAAACACUUAUAGUAAAAUGUCAUUAGGACUGCUUGAUGUUGGUGAAAGGCUCAAGACCCAGGGCAGAAGGCCUGUUUGCU
rnacentral:lncRNA from 1 species